UAGGGAAUCUUCGGCAAUGGACGAAAGUCUGACCGAGCAACGCCGCGCGAGUGAAGAAGGUUUUCGGAUCGUAAAACUCUGUUGUUAGAGAAGAACAAGGACGUUAGUAACUGAACGUCCCCUGACGGUAUCUAACCAGAAAGCAACGGCUAACUACGUGCCAGCAGCCGCGGUAAUACGUAGGUGGCAAGCGUUGUCCGGAUUUAUUGGGCGUAAAGCGAGCGCAGGCGGUUUCUUAAGUCUGAUGUGAAAGCCCCCGGCUCAACCGGGGAGGGUCAUUGGAAACUGGGAGACUUGAGUGCAGAAGAGGAGAGUGGAAUUCCAUGUGUAGCGGUGAAAUGCGUAGAUAUAUGGAGGAACACCAGUGGCGAAGGCGGCUGUCUAGUCUGUAACUGACGCUGAGGCUGGAAAGCGUGGGGAGCAAACAAG
rnacentral:rRNA from 1 species